AUUGAACGCUGGCGGCAGGCCUAACACAUGCAAGUCGAGCGGAUGAAGGGAGCUUGCUCCUGGAUUCAGCGGCGGACGGGUGAGUAAUGCCUAGGAAUCUGCCUGGUAGUGGGGGAUAACGUCCGGAAACGGGCGCUAAUACCGCAUACGGCCUGAGGGAGAAAGUGGGGGAUCUUCGGACCUCAUGCUCUCAGAUGAGCCUAGGUCGGAUUAACUAGUUGGUGGGGUAAAGGCCUACCAAGGCGACGUUCCGUAACUGGUCUGAGCGGAUGAUCAGCCACACUGGGACUGAGACACCGUCCAUACUCCUACGGGAGGCACCAGUCGGGAAUAUUGGACAAUGGGCGAAGAACUGAUCCAGCCGUGCCACGUGUGUGAAGAAGGUCUUCGGAUUGUAAAGCCCUUUAAGUUGGGAGGAAGGGCAGUAAGUUAAUACCUUGCUAUUUUGACGUUACCAACAGAAUAAGCACCGGCUAACUUCGUG
rnacentral:rRNA from 1 species